rnacentral:tRNA from 1 species
AGUCAGGCGGGCGGGGGACACAUCCCUGCGAAGGAUGAAAUGCAGGUUCGAUUCCUGCCAGGA